GACGAACGCUGGCGGCGUGCUUAACACAUGCAAGUCGAACGGAAAGGCCCUGCUUUUGUGGGGUGCUCGAGUGGCGAACGGGUGAGUAACACGUGAGUAACCUGCCCUUGACUUUGGGAUAACUUCAGGAAACUGGGGCUAAUACCGGAUAGGAGCUCCUGCUGCAUGGUGGGGGUUGGAAAGUUUCGGCGGUUGGGGAUGGACUCGCGGCUUAUCAGCUUGUUGGUGGGGUAGUGGCUUACCAAGGCCUUGACGGGUAGCCGGCCUGAGAGGGUGACCGGCCACAUUGGGACUGAGAUACGGCCCAGACUCCUACGGGAGGGAGCAGUGGGGAAUAUUGCACAAUGGGCGGAAGCCUGAUGCAGCAACGCCGCGUGCGGGAUGACGGCCUUCGGGUUGUAAACCGCUUUCGCCUGUGACGAAGCGUGAGUGACGGUAAUGGGUAAAGAAGCACCGGCUAACUACGUG
rnacentral:rRNA from 1 species